rnacentral:sRNA from 1 species
GACACGAACGAUGGGUAGCACAGUAA